rnacentral:ncRNA from 1 species
UUGUAAGCGAUGAAGGGGAGCAGUACGUAGUAGGUUUCUUUCCAGGGAAAGAGGGUCGUGACUGGAAACCCUCUUAAAGAAGAGCUGCGGAAAUUCACCCCCGAGCUGCGAUCUGAACGUAUGAUAACAUACCAGUAGGUGCGCCGGUUCUUCUACCGUUAUCAGAAGUGGGUAAGUGAGCUUGCCCUGUAAGUGGUUCUUGCGGUCUAAGAGAACAAUUUGGGUGGUACCACGGAUAUUUCCGUCCCUUUU